GGUCCUGUAGUGUAGUGGUUAUCACAGCGGAUUCUGAGACAAAUUAUAUGACCUUGUUACGUAACUUCCGCUAACCCAGGUUCGAGUCCUGGCAGGACCU